GACGAACCGUGCGAACGUUGUUCGGAAUCACUGGGCAUAAAGGGCGCGUAGGCGGCUUAUCAAGUCAGGGGUGAAAUCCGGCAGCUUAACUGUCGAAGUGCCCUUGAUACUGAUGAGCUCGAGGGAGAUAGGGGUGUGUGGAACUUCCGGUGGAGCGGUGAAAUGCGUUGAUAUCGGAAGGAACGCCGGUGGCGAAAGCGACACACUGGAUCUCUGCUGACGCUGAGGCGCGAAAGCCAGGGGAGCAAACGGG
rnacentral:rRNA from 1 species